AUUGAACGCUAGCGGGAUGCCUUACACAUGCAAGUCGAACGGAGUGGCGAACGGGUGAGUAAUGUAUCUGAACGUGCCCAUUAGCGGUGGAUAACUAUGCGAAAGCGUAGCUAAUACUGCUUCCUAUUGGAGCGGCCUGUAUCGGAUUAGCUAGUUGGUGGGGUAACGGCGCACCAAGGCGACGAUCCGUAGCUGGGUUGAGAGGACGACCAGCCACACUGGGACUGAGACACGGCCCAGACUCCUACGGGAGGCAGCAGUGGGGAAUUUUGGACAAUGGGGGAAACCCUGAUCCAGCCAUCCCGCGUGUGCGAUGAAGGCCUUCGGGUUGUAAAGCACUUUUGGCAGGAAAGCGGUACCUGCAGAAUAAGCACCGGCUAACUACGUGCCAGCAGCCGCGGUAAUUC
rnacentral:rRNA from 1 species